rnacentral:rRNA from 1 species
AUUGAACGCUGGCGGCAGGCUUAACACAUGCAAGUCGAGCGAGCGGCGGACGGGUGAGUAAUGUCUGGGAAACUGCCUGAUGGAGGGGGAUAACUACUGGAAACGGUAGCUAAUACCGCAUACCAUCAGAUGUGCCAAGAUGGGAUUAGCUAGUAGGUUGGGUAAGGGCUCACCUAGGCGACGAUCCCUAGCUGGUCUGAGAGGAUGACCAGCCACACUGGAACUGGGACACGGUCCAGACUCCUACGGGAGGCAGCAGUUGGGAAUAUUGCACAAUGGGCGCAAGCCUGAUGCAGCCAUGCCGCGUGUAUGAAGAAGGCCUUCGGGUUGUAAAGUACUUUCAGCGGGGAGGGGUUACCCGAAGAGGAUGCACCGGAUAACUCCGUGCCAGCAGCCGCGGUUAUUC